rnacentral:rRNA from 1 species
UACGUAGGGACCAAGCGUUGUUCGGAUUUACUGGGCGUAAAGGGCGCGUAGGCGGCAAUUCAAGUCAUCUGUGAAAUCUCCGGGCUUAACCCGGAACGGUCAGGUGAUACUGUUUUGCUAGAGUGCGGAAGGGGCAAUCGGAAUUCUCGGUGUAGCGGUGAAAUGCGUAGAUAUCGAGAGGAACACCAGAGGUGAAGACGGGUUGCUGGGCCGACACUGACGCUGACAGCGCGAAAGCCAGGGGAGCAAAUGGG